CCUACGGGAGGCAGCAGUGGGGAAUAUUGCACAAUGGGGGAAACCCUGAUGCAGCGACGCCGCGUGAGUGAAGAAGUCAUUCGUUAUGUAAAGCUCUAUCAGCAGGGAAGAAAAUGACGGUACCUGAGUAAGAAGCCCCGGCUUACUACGUGCCAGCAGCCGCGGGAAUACGGAGGGGGCAAGCGUUAUCCGGAUUUACUGGGUGUAAAGGGAGCGUAGACGGCUGUGCAAGUCUGGAGUGAAAGGCGGGGGCUCAACCCCGGGACUGCUCUGGAAACUGUACGGCUGGAGUGCAGGAGAGGUGAGUGGAAGUCCAAGUGUAGCGGUGAAAUGCGUAGAUAUUAGGAGGAACACCAGUGGCGAAGGCGGCUUACUGGACUGUAACUGACGUUGAGGCUCGAAAGCGUGGGGAGCAAACAGGAUUAGAUACCCCAGUAGUC
rnacentral:rRNA from 1 species